rnacentral:rRNA from 1 species
ACAGAUGGGAGCUUGCUCCCUGAUGUUAGCGGCGGACGGGUGAGUAACACGUGGGUAACCUGCCUGUAAGACUGGGAUAACUCCGGGAAACCGGGGCUAAUACCGGAUGCUUGUUUGAACCGCAUGGUUCAAACAUAAAAGGUGGCUUCGGCUACCACUUACAGAUGGACCCGCGGCGCAUUAGCUAGUUGGUGAGGUAAUGGCUCACCAAGGCAACGAUGCGUAGCCGACCUGAGAGGGUGAUCGGCCACACUGGGACUGAGACACGGCCCAGACUCCUACGGGAGGCAGCAGUAGGGAAUCUUCCGCAAUGGACGAAAGUCUGACGGAGCAACGCCGCGUGAGUGAUGAAGGUUUUCGGAUCGUAAAGCUCUGUUGUUAGGGAAGAACAAGUACCGUUCGAAUAGGGCGGUACCUUGACGGUACCUAACCAGAAAGCCACGGCUAACUACGUGCCAGCAGCCGCGGUAAUACGUAGGUGGCAAGCGUUGUCCGGAAUUAUUGGGCGUAAAGGGCUCGCAGGCGGUUCCUUAAGUCUGAUGUGAAAGCCCCCGGCUCAACCGGGGAGGGUCAUUGGAAACUGGGGAACUUGAGUGCAGAAGAGGAGAGUGGAAUUCCACGUGUAGCGGUGAAAUGCGUAGAGAUGUGGAGGAACACCAGUGGCGAAGGCGACUCUCUGGUCUGUAACUGACGCUGAGGAGCGAAAGCGUGGGGAGCGAACAGGAUUAGAUACCCUGGUAGUCCACGCCGUAAACGAUGAGUGCUAAGUGUUAG